GGCCCUAUCGUCUAGCCUGGUCUAGGACGCCAGGUUCUCAUCCUGGAAACCCGGGUUCAAAUCCCGGUAGGGUCACCA
rnacentral:tRNA from 1 species